GAUUUCCUAUACUGAUCAAUUUAUUUGGAAGAUACCAUUUGAGAAUUUGGAAAGGAUAAUGGACAUUUUAAAGGACCUUGCAUCUGGAGUUCUGACAGCAGAGCCAAACCAGUGACUAGAAAGUUAUUGGUCCAGAAUACACCUGGACAUGGCUGUCAGCAGCUUUCACUUUGAACACAA